rnacentral:rRNA from 1 species
AACGAACGCUGGCGGCAGGCCUAACACAUGCAAGUCGAACGCAUCGCAAGAUGAGUGGCGCACGGGUGAGUAACACGUGGGAAUGUAUCCUUUGGUUCGGAAUAACGUUUGGAAACGAACGCUAAUACCGGAUGAGCCCUUAGGGGGAAAGAUUUAUCGCCGAAGGAGCAGCCCGCGUCUGAUUAGGUAAUUGGUGGGGUAAAGGCCUACCAAGCCGACGAUCAGUAGCUGGUCUGAGAGGAUGAGCAGCCACACUGGGACUGAGACACGGCCCAGACUCCUACGGGAGGCAGCAGUGGGGAAUAUUGGACAAUGGGCGCAAGCCUGGUCCAGCCAUGCCGCGUGAGUGAUGAAGGCCUUCGGGUUGUAAAGCUCUUUCGCACACGACGAUGAUGACGGUAGUGUGAGAAGAAGCCCCGGCUAACUUCGUGCCAGCAGCCGCCGUAAUAC